GCAUUAAUGGGGUAGUGGUAACCUGGGUCGUUGCCAUGUGUAUGUCGCUGUAUGUCGACCCGCCGGGGGUUCAAUUCCCCCUUAAUGCA